rnacentral:rRNA from 1 species
AUGAGCUUUCUCGCCGGGCGCCUCGCCGCACAGGAGGGCGCAUACUUCCUCCAGGAGUCCAGGAACGCCGCCAGCCGCCUCGCGCAGAAGAUCCCCGCGUCCGAACAUGGGCCCAGGCCGGCAUCCCCGCCUCCGUCGGCCGACGUGCUGCCGGAGAUCCUCCGCCACUCCAUGCCUUUAAGGCCCACGCUGCCUCCGCCCAACUCAACCCUGUACGGUUCCACCCGCUGGGCCCUCCCACCGGGCGGCGCCAAGGCUGCCGGCGUGUCCCCCGACGUGCUCAACCCGCUCCGGUCGUACGUCGCGCUGCCGCAGGCCACCUUCGGCCUCGGCCCCAAAAGGUGCGCCUCUGGCGCCUUCGGUAUUGAUCUAAUUUUUUCACUCAAGGUUUCAUGUGGAUUUGUUUACAGAUGGGAACUUCCAACUGACAGGCCUUACUAUUCAUCACCAAGCACCAAUGAGGGACGGCGUGAUAUGCAUCCUCCUCCCAUGGACCCUGAGAAGUUGAAGGCCGUAAUUGCUAGAUACUCACAGGUUGGAAAGGCGCUCCUUAGGAUUGCUGGGACUAUAUUGGUGAUUGGAGAAGCAACAGCUGAGCUGCUGUAUACGGUGAAUAAGCUUCAGUUGCAUUCUGUCGGCGAUGUCAGAGCUAAAGGAAAAGAACACGCUGAUAUGGUCAAAGUACAACUAGCUCCACUAAGGAAAUGGGCUGAAGACACGUCCCGAAAAUGGCAUUACAAAGGCAACAAAGAGUCCAAGGAGAAGCCUAUCCUUGAUAGAGAGCGUUCAAGAGCACUUAGUGCUAAUACACGUCUGAAUUGA